rnacentral:rRNA from 1 species
UGGGAAUUUUGGACAAUGGGCGAAAGCCUGAUCCAGCAAUGCCGCGUGUGUGAAGAAGGCCUUCGGGUUGUAAAGCACUUUUUGUCCGGAAAGAAAUCCUUGGCUCUAAUACAGUCGGGGGAUGACGGUACCGGAAGAAUAAGCACCGGCUAACUACGUGCCAGCAGCCGCGGUAAUACGUAGGGUGCAAGCGUUAAUCGGAAUUACUGGGCGUAAAAGCGUGCGCAGGCGGUUUGCUAAGACCGAUGUGAAAUCCCCGGGCUCAACCUGGGAACUGCAUUGGUGACUGGCAGGCUAGAGUAUGGCAGAGGGGGGUAGAAAUUCCACGUNUAGCAGUGAAAUGCGUAGAGAUGUGGAGGAAUACCGAUGGCGAAGGCAGCCCCCUGGGCCAAAUACUGACGCUCAUGCACGAAAAGCGUGGGGGAGCAAAACAGGAUUAGAUACCCUGGUAGUCCACGCCCUAAAACGAUGUCAACUAGUUGUUGGGGAUUCAUUUUCCUU